AAAGAUUAAGCCAUGCAUGUCUAAGUAUAAGCAAUUAUACAGCGAAACUGCGAAUGGCUCAUUAUAUAAGUUAUCGUUUAUUUGAUAGUACCUUACUACUUGGAUAACCGUGGUAAUUCUAGAGCUAAUACAUGCUAAAAAUCCCGACUUCGGAAGGGAUGUAUUUAUUAGAUUAAAAACCAAUGCCCUCCGGGGCUCACUGGUGAUUCAUGAUAACUCCUCGAAUCGCAUGGCCUUGUGCCGGCGAUGGUUCAUUCAAAUUUCUUCCCUAUCAACUUUCGAUGUUUGGGUAUUGGCCAAACAUGGUUGCAACGGGUAACGGAGGGUUAGGGCUCGACCCCGGAGAAGGAGCCUGAGAAACGGCUACUACAUCCAAGGAAGGCAGCAGGCGCGCAAAUUACCCAAUCCCGACACGGGGAGGUAGUGACAAUAAAUACUGAUACAGGGCUCUUUUGGGUCUUGUAAUUGGAAUGAGUACAAUUUAAAUCCCUUAACGAGGAACAAUUGGAGGGCAAGUCUG
rnacentral:rRNA from 1 species